UGGGGAAUAUUGGACAAUGGGCGAAAGCCUGAUCCAGCCAUGCCGCGUGUGUGAAGAAGGUCUUCGGAUUGUAAAGCACUUUAAGUUGGGAGGAAGGGCAUUAACCUAAUACGUUAGUGUUUUGACGUUACCGACAGAAUAAGCACCGGCUAACUCUGUGCCAGCAGCCGCGGUAAUACAGAGGGUGCAAGCGUUAAUCGGAAUUACUGGGCGUAAAGCGCGCGUAGGUGGUUUGUUAAGUUGGAUGUGAAAUCCCCGGGCUCAACCUGGGAACUGCAUUCAAAACUGACUGACUAGAGUAUGGUAGAGGGUGGUGGAAUUUCCUGUGUAGCGGUGAAAUGCGUAGACAUAGGAAGGAACACCAGUGGCGAAGGCGACCACCUGGACUAAUACUGACACUGAGGUGCGAAAGCGUGGGGAGCAAACA
rnacentral:rRNA from 1 species